GACAUAGGUCGCAAACGUUAUCCGGAAUCAUUGGCGUAAAGGGCGCGUAGGUGGUUCUGUAUGUCUACCGUGAAAGCAUACAGCUCAACUGUAUUUUGUCGGUAGAAACUGCAGGACUUGAGGCUGGGAGGGGCUGGUGGAAUUCCCUGUGUAGCGGUGAAAUGCGUAGAGAUGGGGGAGAACACUCGUGGCGAAGGCGGCCAGCUAGACCAGUUCUGACACUGAGGCGCGACAGCGUGGGGAGCAAACAGG
rnacentral:rRNA from 1 species